UACGGAGGAUCCAAGCGUUAUCCGGAUUUAUUGGGUUUAAAGGGUGCGUAGGUGGUUCUUUAAGUCAGGGGUGAAAGACGGCAGCUUAACUGUCGCAGUGCCUUUGAUACUGAAGAACUUGAAUACACUAGAGGUAGGCGGAAUGUGACAAGUAGCGGUGAAAUGCAUAGAUAUGUCACAGGACACCAAUUGCGAAGGCAGCUUACUAUGGUGUCAUUGACACUGAGGCACGAAAGCGUGGGGAUCAAACAGG
rnacentral:rRNA from 1 species